AGUGCUUGCACUCAAUUGGAAAGAGGAGUGGCGGACGGGUGAGUAACACGUGGGUAACCUACCCAUCAGAGGGGGAUAACACUUGGAAACAGGUGCUAAUACCGCAUAACAGUUUAUGCCGCAUGGCAUAAGAGUGAAAGGCGCUUUCGGGUGUCGCUGAUGGAUGGACCCGCGGUGCAUUAGCUAGUUGGUGAGGUAACGGCUCACCAAGGCCACGAUGCAUAGCCGACCUGAGAGGGUGAUCGGCCACACUGGGACUGAGACACGGCCCAGACUCCUACGGGAGGCAGCAGUAGGGAAUCUUCGGCAAUGGACGAAAGUCUGACCGAGCAACGCCGCGUGAGUGAAGAAGGUUUUCGGAUCGUAAAACUCUGUUGUUAGAGAAGAACAAGGACGUUAGUAACUGAACGUCCCCUGACGGUAUCUAACCAGAAAGCCACGGCUAACUACGUGCCAGCAGCCGCGGUAAUACGUAGGUGGCAAGCGUUGUCCGGAUUUAUUGGGCGUAAAGCGAGCGCAGGCGGUUUCUUAAGUCUGAUGUGAAAGCCCCCGGCUCAACCGGGGAGGGUCAUUGGAAACUGGGAGACUUGAGUGCAGAAGAGGAGAGUGGAAUUCCAUGUGGUUAGC
rnacentral:rRNA from 1 species